UUUUAUUGAGAUUUUGAACUUUUGGAUUUUCAGGUUUUUGGAGAAGAUUGAGAUUUUUGUUUGAUAUUUACAAGCCUUCGGUCAUCUCCCUCUCGUUGGCAACCAGUUUCGUUGGUUAGUUCUACUUCUCUUGUGUUUUAUUUGAGCAUCUAUUUCAUAUCAUAUUAUUUUAAGCUUGUACAUAAGGUUCUCUAUGGAAUAUUUUUAAUUGACUUUUACAUAAGACCUUGACAUUAGUCCAGUAAAAGAGAAGAUUUUCUGCCUAAAAACUUCAACUUAUAAGAAAAUAAAGAGAUCUAAUUGGUAGAGUAUUUACAUAUUCUAUAUACGUUCUCUAACACUAAUUUCUUUUUAUGUAAUAAAACAUUACAUAGUCAUGAAAUUGGGUUAACAUGGGCAAUUUACUAUAUGAUUACAUAAUCUGAUCUCAUGCUUCUUCAUAUUGUUAAAUAUAAACAUCAACAAUAGUUGUUACCAUUGGAGAGACAAGAGUGAUAAAGAGAGAUAUUUGAGGAAUGGUUUUUAUGGUCUAAUCUUGAGAAAACCAUUCCUCAAAUCUCUCUCUUUUUCACUCUCGUCUUUCCAAUGGUAACAACUAUUGUUAUUAAUAAUGUAAAAGCUCACUACUGAUUAAGAAAACGGUUUGAUUGUGUAUGACUAUUAUUUAACUACUUGUUUAAUGCAUAUAAAGCUAUAAUAUUUAUGUUUUUGAGAAUAAAAUCUCACUUCUUAAGUACAGUAGUCCAUUUAGAAGUUAAUUUUGAAAAAUGUUUAAUCAAUACAACAAUUUAUAGUACUCACGUGCAUUAAAAUAAUAGUUAUACUGCAACUCGAUUUUGAUAACUCGUAUUACCAGUUGGAGCCUUUAUCACUAAUAAUUUAUUAAAUGUUUUUUUUUUUUCUCUUUUUCCCUUAUUAGAUGUUGCAUGUUUUUCUAAUAUCUAGUAUUUUGUUAAUCGCAGAUCAUGGCAGCAGAGAGUUCAAACAAAAGAAAAGCCCCUAUGGAAGACCAUGACUUAGAUUUCAAUGUAAGUAAACCAAAAUCGGAGUUGGAUGAACACUACAAUGCAAUUUUCUACAAGGUGAAAGAACAAAUUAAAGAGACGGACGAAGCUCACAACCUUAGUAUCAAGUUGCAGAAAACGAAUGCCAAACUUGUUAUCUUGAAGAAAUUGAUGAGUGAGCCAAAACUUGACUUGGAUGCUGAGCUCCAGAAGCUAGAAAAGAAAGCGGAUAUUGCUUUAGAUGCGGUGCUAAAGCAUAAAGUGUCUAAGGUUGAUUGGUCAAAACUAGGGAUGCCGUUUAUGUAUGAAGACUAAGGGCAUCAUUAUCAAAGGGAUAAGAGCUUUUCUUAACAAAAUCUUAGGGUAAGAGCUCAUUAAUAAUGAUGAUCUAAUAUUUAAAACUCUUGUAGUUUUCCUAUAUUCAGAACUCUGUUUUUUUUAUAAUGACUAUCAUCUUAAAUUUGAAUUGCGA
rnacentral:lncRNA from 1 species